AAUAGAUGACGCCGUUGACUUUUUCUCACAUGUUUGACCAUUCGUCUUAUUCAAAAAGUUUACGUAAUUAUAAUUUAUUUUGUUAUGAGUUGUUUUCUCACUCAUGUGAUUUAUAUCUUAUAUAUUUGCAUAAAAUUUUUGAAUAAGACGAAUGGUCAAACAUGUGAGAAAAAGUCAACGGCGUCAUCUAUU
rnacentral:pre_miRNA from 1 species